CAGCAGCCGCGGGAAUACGGAGGAUCCAAGCGUUAUCCGGAAUUAUUGGGUUUAAAGGGUCCGUAGGCGGUCUUGUAAGUCAGUGGUGAAAGCCCAUCGCUCAACGGUGGAACGGCCAUUGAUACUGCAGGACUUGAAUUAUUGGGAAGUAACUAGAAUAUGUAGUGUAGCGGUGAAAUGCUUAGAGAUUACAUGGAAUACCAAUUGCGAAGGCAGGUUACUACCAAUUGAUUGACGCUGAUGGACGAAAGCGUGGGUAGCGAACAGGAUUAGAUACCCGAGUAGUCCCUGUCUCUUAUAC
rnacentral:rRNA from 1 species